GGCCAGAUAGCUCAAUGGCAGAGCGGGCGGCUUUGACCCGCAGGAUAGUGGUUCGACUCCACAGCUGGCUA
rnacentral:tRNA from 1 species